GACAUUGUGGCCGAGUGGUUAAGGCGAUAGACUCGAAAUCUAUUCCCGUUAGGGUCGCAGGUUCGAGUCCUGUCAAUGUCG
rfam:Aureococcus anophagefferens unplaced genomic scaffold ATRANscaffold_96, whole genome shotgun sequence.